AAACUAAUCUCUGAAAGCCAACUUUAAUACUUUUAGCAUGAUCUAGAUCUUAACAGUUGCAUGUUAUCCUCUGCUACUCCUAAAACAUUAACACAUUGAAACAUGAUCACUCAGAGUAAAUGAAGUUCUCUUUUUAUAUUAAUCUUGGAGCCACUGAUAAAAUGCAAAUGAUUAACGUCAGAAAGAAAGAAUUACUCAUCACUAGACCAAAUUUCCAAAAGCUUCAUAAGUUACAGAAAGCGUUCACAAAGGUUUCAGAACUAUCUGCUAGAGGCUUUGCAAAUUGAAUUAAAAACAAAACAAAAAACCCCAAAACAAAAAGCUGAAAAUCUGUAGAGCUAAUCAUUAUUUCAAACUCAGGCUUUCCUCUUGGAUAUAUAACUAUCUUUGAUGGUACUGCUAUAAAAACUAAGAUCUUCUCUUCAAAUCUGAUAUGCAGAGAAUCUGUUCUAACCCAAACUAAAUAAAGAUGUUGGUGCCAAUCAACUCCUACUAUCUAUACUAUGGUAACCUGCUAUUUUAUUCCUUUUUGCUUUUGCAUUUCAAAAAUGAGCUCACUAAAUCAGUACCUGAUUGUCUCCUGAGAACUGUGAAUGCCAACCUACCUGGCACACCUAGGAAAAACUGGCUCAAAGAAUUAUUUUGAGUAUUCAGUGUCCCACGUACUGUAUCCAGAGCUGGUUCCUGCCAGUGGAUUCAGGGUCUUGCUGACUUCAAGAAUGAAGCUGCGGACCUUCGAGUUUUCACGGACCAAGAAACUGAAGUAGAGAGAUGAUGAGGAAUGUGCCCGAGGUUGCAGAAGUAAGAAGUGGUGGAUGCAAGAUGCAAAUCCCAACAAACCAGUUGACUCCAGAUGUAUAUGAAACACUGCAAAGUAUUCAAAGGACUACACUGUAUAGUCUUAUUUCUCAGACUGGAUCUCCUUUUGCUGUCCUUGCCACACUGUCUGAUGGGCAAACCAAACCACCUGCUCGUCCCCAUAUGUACACCCUGUUUUCCGAGCACUGUUCUCCCUGCCUGGGAUGACUUUCCUUUCUUAUUUCCAUAUAACAAAACUCAGCUUGAAUGAUACCUCUUCCAUGAAAUCUCUCCUGAACUUCAAGAGGAAACUGAUUUCCCUUUCCUUUGAAUGUUGCCACAACUUCACCUGUACUUUUGAUAUCACUUUAUAGUCAUACAUAUACUCAGUCCAUCUUCCUGCUAACAAGAACUUUACUUUGUAUAUCUUCCCAUCAUCCAUGGUACAGAGAUGCACAUGAUAGAUGCUUAAAGAUUUCUCUUAUAAAUCAAUGGGAA
rnacentral:lncRNA from 10 species